rnacentral:misc_RNA from 1 species
CAGUUAUUGUUGUAUCUGUUCAUCAUCUAGUAAAUUAUAUUACAUUGUUAGAGGAUAUCUGAAGAUGUUUAGAAGAUAUACAUCUAAAAGCGNNNNNNNNUGGUGUCACAAUAGCUGCUGGCCACUGUUAUGCAUGCAUUGUCAUUGGUGCAACUAGCGGCAAUGAUGCUGCUGCUGCAUCUCCAUGAGAACCUCCNNNNNNUUGAGAUAUUAUUUCUGCUAACAAAUUUGCAUUUUGAAUCUGAAUGUUUACUGGUUUCCAAAUCCUUAAGUUAAUUGCUAAUUGUCCGUGUGAUUUCAAGAAACUAGAUGGCUAAUACAACAUGAGUUAAUAGUGCCUUCACAACAGUCCUUGGAACUGUUGCUUGUCAAUCAUUUGUUUUUGUGCAACUCCAGCCAUAAAGUCAAACAGAUGUGAGAAUCUCUCCUGUUAAAUGAGAGAUGGGACGAGCUUGUUAUUGUAACAAUUUUAUUGUAUACACUUAUACAUGACUUCAUCCAUGUUUCCAUGCAUCAAACUUAUUAGAUGUUAUCUCUAAACAUCUUGUCAGGAUUUUUCUGUUCUUGCCCCCUAACCCCCAC